CCGUCGGGGAGAAAAUCAGGGACGCCCUUAAGCCUUUGGAUCAGGGUGUGGACUUGAACAUAAGAAGAGAGUGCAUCCUGAAGUCACUUGUGAUCUACCUGGGUGAAGAUGUAAGGCACCUGAUCAAAGAGUACCUGGUUGUCCAAAAGGAAGAGGCAGAGGCAGAACUUGAAAAUGCCACCAUGGCCAUCUUUGUCCUCCGCGAUGGUGACGAUCUCUC